rnacentral:rRNA from 1 species
CGUAGGGUGCGAGCGUUAAUCGGAAUUACUGGGCGUAAAGCGUGCGCAGGCGGUUUUGUAAGACAGGCGUGAAAUCCCCGGGCUCAACCUGGGAACUGCGCUUGUGACUGCAAGGCUAGAGUACGGCAGAGGGGGGUGGAAUUCCACGUGUAGCAGUGAAAUGCGUAGAGAUGUGGAGGAACACCAAUGGCGAAGGCAGCCCCCUGGGUCGAUACUGACGCUCAUGCACGAAAGCGUGGGUAGCAAACAGGAUUAGAUACCCUGGUAGUCCACGCCCUAAACGAUGUCAACUAGGUGUUGGGCGGGUAAAACCAUUUAGUACCGGAGCUAACGCGUGAAGUUGACCGCCUGGGGAGUACGGCCGCAAGGUUA